CAACAACAACAACAACAACAACCCCGUAUAAUCCCACUUAGUGGGGUCUGGGAAGGGUAGUAUGUACGCAGACCUUACCCCUACCCUGAACCCAGUAUAAUCCCACUUAGUGGGGUCUGGGGAGGGUAGUGUGUACACAGACCCUAUCCCUACCCUGGGGUAGAGAGGCUGUUUGCAAAUAAACCGCCGACAUCCUUCCCUCCAAGAACUUCCCACCUUGCUCUUCUUGGGGAGACUCGAACUCACAACCUCUCGGUUGGAAGUGGGGGUUGCUUACCAUCAGAGCAACCCCUCUUGUCCAUAAGGGAACCCUAACAUGUCAAAAAGUUAAAUCAGUGGUGAUAAAACUAGCUAGAGCAACCACACUAGCACUGGAAUGAGCCAUUUGGUCCUUCCAAAGUGGCAGUUAACCAUCAUUGCAAUAAAAACAAGCCACAAAGUAGUACAGGAAUGGAAGUUGCUAUUAUUAAUUAAUCCCUUUAUCAAAAACAAAGUACAGGGAUGGGUAUAGUAACCACUGUUAAUGUGACUGAUAAAAGAACCUCUUAAUGUGACCGAUUAAAAAAAAAACCAUAGUUGAUGUGCCAUAAAAGAAAAUAUCAGUAGUUAUGAAAAUCCUCAAAUUAUUCACCAUUUCAUUAGCCUAUAUCACAACAUAUUAAAUUGUGAAAAAUAUGUUAAACCAAAAGGAAGCUCAUUUAUGUAGUUCACGACAAGAAAUCUGUAGAAGUAGAGACAAAAGAGGAAGAACUUCAUCCCCCAGUAUUGUAAAAAGCUUAAAUCAUCAGAGACAAAUCUCUGGUGAAAGCAACCUAGAUGCACUCAUAAAAUGUAAAUCGUGGUUAUUGGUAAAGCUUUUUUUUUUUGUUUUUGUUUUGCCCAAUGCAAUCCUAGGAGGUUGUUCCUAGGGAAUUCUGGAGUUCCUAGGUUCUUCUUCUUUCCUCUUAUUUUCUGGCUUUCUGUCCCAAGACCUUAAAAUUUAGCCCUAAAUCGGACCUCUUUGAUGUCCAAAUCAAAUUGGAGAGAUCUUGUACGUGUUUAUUGCUGUGCUUUGUAUUGAGGAAACUUUUUGGAGAGAUCUUGUACGUGUUAUGGAGGAAACUUUUUGUGCACCAAUAUUUGUCCUAUAAAUUCUUGAUGAAGUGCAUUUCCUCGUUAGAAAUACUCAUUGAAGAAUAAAAGAAAUAGCAAAUGAUAGGUGGCUUCGCCUUGAUGUGUUAUUCAUAUGAAUGGAAUGAAUAAAGCAACAACUUUUUUCUCAACAUCAUGAUUUAUUAAGCACUUUUCUCCUAUAAUCUUAAAGUAAAUUUAAGUGCCGUGCAUAUUGAAUGGUUUUGUUCUCCCAUUGCUUAAGAUAGUGAAACUCAGCUGUUAGAGACCACUCUGCUAUACGUCAUAUACAACAAUACAACAAUAACAACCCAGUAUAAUAUCACUUAGUGGGGUCUGGGGAGGGUAGUGUGUACGCAGACCUACCCCUACCCUUGGGUAGAGAGACUGUUUCCAAAUAGACCCCCGGCAUCCUUCCCUCCAAGAACUUCCCACUUUGCUCUUGGGGAGACUCGAGCUCACAACCUCUCGGUUGGAAGUGGAGGUUGCUUACCAUCAGAGCAACCCCUCUUGUC
rnacentral:lncRNA from 1 species